rnacentral:rRNA from 1 species
GUGCCAGCAGCCGCGGUAAUACCGGCAGCUCGAGUGAUGUCCAAUAUUAUUGGGCCUAAAGCGUCCGUAGCUGGCCGCGCAAGUCCGUCGGGAAAUCCACCUGCCCAACAGGUGGGCGUCCGGUAGAAACUGGCCGGCUUGGAACCGGAAGGCUCAGAGAGUACGUCCGGGGUAGGAGUGAAAUCCCGUGAUCCCGGACGGACUACCGAUGGCGAAAGCACGUCGCGAAGACGGAUCCGACAGUGAGGGACGAAAGCUAGGGUCUCGAACCGGAUUAGAAACCCCUGUAGUCC